CACGUAGGCGGCAUGGUAAGUCAUAGGUGAAAGCCCUCGGCUCAACCGAGGAACUGCCUUUGAAACUGCUUUGCUUGAGUCCGGGAGGGGGGAGCGGAAUUCCCAGUGUAGCGGUGAAAUGCGUAGAUACUGGGAGGAACACCGGUGGCGAAGGCGGCUCCCUGGACCGGUACUGACGCUGAGGUGCGAAAGCGUGGGUAGCAAACA
rnacentral:rRNA from 1 species